rnacentral:rRNA from 1 species
UACGUAGGGUGCGAGCGUUAAUCGGAAUUACUGGGCGUAAAGCGUGCGCAGGCGGUGAGCUGUGUCCGAUGUGAAAGCCCCGGGCUUAACCUGGGAAUGGCAUUGGAAACUGGCUCGCUGGAGUGUGGCAGAGGGGGGUGGAAUUCCGCGUGUAGCAGUGAAAUGCGUAGAGAUGCGGAGGAACACCAGUGGCGAAGGCGGCCGUGCUGGGCAGUGAGCUGAGCUGAGGCGCGACAGCGUGGGGAGCAACAGG